rnacentral:rRNA from 1 species
UGAGGAAUUUUGCGCAAUGGGGGAAACCCUGACGCAGCAACGCCGCGUGAGUGAUGAAGGCCUUCGGGUCGUAAAGCUCUGUCAAGUGGGAAGAACCUGUCACGUGAUAAUACCACGGGGCACUGACGGUACCACUGAAGGAAGCACCGGCUAACUCCGUGCCAGCAGCCGCGGUAAUACGGGGGGUGCUAGCGUUAUUCGGAAUCAUUGGGCGUAAAGGGCGCGUAGGCGGUCUCUUAAGUCAGAUGUGAAAGCCCUCGGCUUAACCGAGGAAGUGCAUUUGAUACUAAGUGACUUGAGUAUGGGAGAGGGAAGCGGAAUUCCUGGUGUAGCGGUGAAAUGCGUAGAUAUCGGGAGGAAUAUCAGUGGCGAAGGCGCCCAUCUGGACGGUAACUGACGCUGAGACGCGAAAGCGUGGGGAGCAAACA